rnacentral:lncRNA from 1 species
UGGGUUUGUUCAAUGUAAUUGGGUUUGGUUAGUUUGGGUUUGUAUUUGGGUAUAUUUUUUGGGUUAGUUUCAUCUCCUUCGUUUUGGGUUUGUUAUUUUUAGUGAUUUGGACCUUUUCAUGUAAUUGGGUAUUUGGGUCGGGCAAAAAUUGGGUUUUACAGCUGCCCCUCUUUGCUCGUUGUCGUGUAACGAGAAUGAAGCUAUGACCACAGAAAGGCCAAUUUUGCCCGGUCUUACCACAUCUCGCCCUCAUUAUGCUCAUCUUCUUCAAGUAGCCCCAUUCCAAUCCACUGCAUCUUCAGAGGUAUAGAAAUUGUGCUUUCGAUCCACUCUUCAUCCUCAGUCUACUCUAUUGCGACUUCAGGGAGAUAAAACUUAUAAUUUUGAGCCUGCUCCACUGUAACUUCAAGGAGAUAAGGCUAGUGGCUUAAAUUUGCUCCAUUGCCGAUACAUGGAGAUAAGAUUCAUCGUAUUCGAUCCCGCUUAGGGAGAAAAGAUCUGCAAUUUUCAGUCUGUUUCCUUGCUACCUUAGGAAGAUAAGACUUGUAUCUUCAACAUGCUCUCGUGCUACCUCAGAGAGAUAAGGCUAGUGGCUAAAAUCUGUUCCAUUGCCGAUACAUGGAGACAAGAUUUACCAUCUUCGAUCUACUCCACUACUGCUUAGGGAUAUAAGAUCUGCAAUUUUCAGUCUGCUUCCUUGCUACCUCGGGAAGAUAAGACUUGUAUCUUCAACCCGCUCUCUUACUACCUCAGAGAGAUAAGGUUGGUGGUUAAAAUCUGCUCUCUUACUGAUACAUGGAGAUAAGAUCCGCCGUCUUCGAUCUACUCCACUACUGCUUAGAGAGAUAAGAUCUGCAAUUUUCAGUUUACUUCCUUACUACCUCAGGAAGAUAAAACUUGUAUCUUCAACCUGCUCUCUUGCUACCUCAGAGAGAUAAGGCUGAUGGCUAAAAUCUGCUCCAUUGUUGAUACAUGGAGAUAAGAUCUGCCGUAUUUGAUCUGCUCUGCUACUACUUAGGGAGAUAAGAUCUGUAGUUUUCAGUCUGUUUCCUUGCCACCUUAGGAAGAUAAGACUUGUAUCUUCAACUUGCUCUCUUGUUAUCUCAGAAAGAUAAGGUUGGUAGCUAAAAUCUGCUCCAUUGCCGAUACAUGGAGAUAAGAUUCGCCGUCUUCGAUCUGCUCCACUACUACUUAGAGAGACAAGAUCUGUGAAUUCACAAAUGUUGAUAUACUGUCCUCUAGGGAACAUGCCCUGUAGACUCAGUUUCAUUUUCCUAUGUUUAUGCCAAAUGAUUAGGAUGCUAUGAUUAAAAUGAAUCGAAUGCUCCUAACUAGGUGUGUAUGAAUGAUAUUUGCAUGAAAUGCAAAAUGUCGUGAGAAUGAUGCCUUUUUAAAUGCUUAAAAUUUCAUUACUCGUUAUUCAUCAGAGUUUUAUCAUUGUUGUAUUAUUCUGCCUUCUUGCUCAGCUAGCAUCUUCUAUAGAAAAUCCGUAGAAAUAACCCAUUUUGCUCAACUGGUUUGCCCCAUUGUAACUUCAGGGUCUAUUUCACUGUACUUCUGAGACCUAAGGUUUAUACCAUCUUCAAACCCUCCCCUGUAACUCAGGAGUAUGGGACCUGAAUCCCUUAUCUAUUUGGUCUAUUACACCAUUCCUCGGGCGUCAUGAAUAGAUGUGUACACCUAAUAUUUGCAUGAAUGAGGAAUAUGAUUUCUCUUUUUCCAAUAAUGAUCCCCUCUUAUACUUGGGUUGAUAUCACUCAUUUUCGUUAUUGACGCGAUUUCUGGUUCAACUGAUAUCUUUGCCUAAAAAUUCAAAGAGAUAAUCUCAAUUUGGAUUCAAAUAUUUCCAACUCUUAAGCGAGGUAAGUUCUAAACAAUAGUCCAGUUUCAGGUUCUUGCACUAUUUAGAGCCUUUUAGAGUAAUAUGCAAAACUCCUUUCGUGAAAGUGUUAUUAGUCCAUUAAUCCUUAUUUCAAUAUGAGUGCUUGAAAAAGAUUAUAAAGAUAGACAAAACUGAAAUUCAUUAGGAACAAAAUUCGAAAUGUAUGGAUUAAUCAACGAAAGCAAAAAUUGCUGGAAUACAAAAAAUAGGAAAAGGAAACAAAUAAGUGCCCCAGAUAUCGCAGCCUGAGUUCUCCGUACAAACUCUUCGAUGACCAUUUUGAGCUUAAUUAUCAUGUACAUAAGAGAUCUAAAGUACUUUACCGAUGCCCCAAAAUGUAGCACACUUCCUCUUCGUUAAUUCGAGCAGAGCAAGAUUACUACCUGUCUCAUCAUUGAUCGAAUUUUGAACUGCCCUUUUCGGGUUUUCAAUUCAAAGCCCUUUUGGUCACAAGGCGCCCUUUGCGGGUUUUCACCUCAGCCUCUCCCCCUUUGCCCUUUUUUUUUUACUAGGUUAGGCAAGCUCUUACCGUCCAUCUCAGUUAAUAUCAGUGCCCCUCCAGAAAAAGCCUUCUUUACCACAUAAGGUCCUUCCCAGUUUGGCAUUCAUUCCCUCUGAAAUCUUUCUACAAAUGGAGGAUCUUUUUUAAUACCAAGUCUCCCUCAUGAAAUACUCUAAGGCGAACCUUUUUGUUGUACGUUCACAUCAUUCGUUUCUGGUAUAUUAGACCAUGACGGAUAGCCUUCAACCUCUUUUCUUCAAUCAAGUUCAGCUGAUCAUACCGGGACUGGAUCCAUUCUGCUUCGUCAAGCUUCAACUCUGAUAAAACCCGGAGAGAAGGAAUUUCGACUUCAAUGGGCAAAACUGCCUCCAUCCCAUAAACCAAUGAAUAGGGUGUUUGAUCGCGUGAUUCAUAACAAGUAAUAAAUAUUUAAAAUGAAGAUCAAACUUAGACUAACUAAUGUCCCAAUGUAGGCAAGUGUACCUAUCGAACAGUAGUAUAGUUUUAGCAAGACCGGAUUGUCGAACCCAAAGGAACUAAAAGUACUAGUAAUGAAUGUCUUUUUAUUAUUUAGCCUAAGAAUAAGGGGUUUUUUUUAAUUGACUAAUUAUCUAAACUAAGAAUGCACAGAGAAGAGAAUUGGGGAAUUGCUUUUGGGAAAAUCAAUUGACUUGAGACAAUACCUAAGGAACAAUCCACCAAAACUUUACUUGUUAUUCUGGCUCUGAACCGGACAAUUUAUUCAUUCAACUUGUUCCGUAGAGAUCUCUAAGUUAUGUUAUUAUCCCUAUUCAAGACUAAUAAUGUCUAAUCCUUAGACUGAAUAACUGAAACUUUUCUCUAAUUAACACUCUUGGGUUGCAUUAACUCGAUCUAUGGAUCCCCGUAUUAGGUUUCACCCUAAUCUGGCAAAAUCUUGUCACCCUAUUUCUAAGCACACAAUUAACUCCGCUUAAUUAUGACAAAUGUACUCUUAGACAGGGUCUAUUCCUCCUCUGAAUAAGAGCAUGUCUGGAAUCAGUAUCCUGGGAUAUCAAAACAAGAAUUAAGAACACAUAAUUAAGAACAAGUUAAAUAUUUAUCAUACGAUUCAGAAAAUAAUAACAAGAUUCGUCUUAGGUUUUAUUCCCCUUAGGUAUUUAGGGGUUUAGUUCGUAACUAAAUAAGAAAACAUUUCAGAAGAAUAAAGAAUACAAAACAUAAAGAAAACCCAAAACUCCUGAAGGGAAAUUGAGGAGAGAUCUUCAGUCUUAAUGAUGAAUACGGCUUCUGAGAUGGAUUAAUCGGCUUCCUUGGGGUAAUUUCUUACCCUCUUUCUCCGUCCUCCUCUUUCUCCACCUCUAAGUUGUAUUUAUAGGCUUUGGAAUGCCUAAAAACCCUCAAAAUUGGCCUUUCCCGAAUUAGACUCAACUUGGGCUUGGUAGGGACACGCCCGUGGCACACGCCCGUGUUCGAUUACUUCAGGCCGUGUUCAAGCCUGCCAAAUUGACACAGCCGUGUGGUCUGCCCGUGUGAGGAGGUCCAGGGGUGUUGAUUUCGUACUUUGGCUUAUUUUCUCCGUUUUUGGCCCGUUUCUCGUUCCUUUCGCUCUCCUAAGCUCUCCUAAGUAUAAAACAUGAAAUUAAAGCAUUAGAAGCAUCGAAUUCACUAAUUCUCAUGAGAAAUCAUCCAUAAAAUGCAUUAAACAUGGGUUAAAAAUAUGUAUAAUUUACGGUUUAUCAAAUACCCUCACACUUAAGCAUUUGCUUGUCCUCAAGAAAAAUCCUCAACUCAUAAUUAAAAUAAAUUCUCCUCAACUUAUAAUUCUUAUCGAUAAUAGCUCAAAAUAAUCUAUAGGUAAUCAUACAUUGAGAAUUCAACUAAAAGAACAUAAAAGCUUCAGACAUUCCAAGUUGAGUAUUUAAUCAUGCAAACAUAGGUGUCUCUCCGCUUCUAGGUAAUUACCUUUGAUUCAGAAUAUCACAGAGUUUCACAUCCUCACUAAAGAUUCACUCAAAUCACUCGAGGUUUUAAGGACAAUAAAUGAAGCAAUCAAUAGUCAAUAAUGAAAAGUCAUUACCAUAGACUUGCAUGAAAAUCAAAUCUCCACCACUAUAAUUUAAGAUGAUACAUCAAUCAAAAGGUCUUUAGAGGGUUGUAAUGCGGCUUGGUUAGGGGGGUGUGGUCACAAGCUGAAAGAAAGGGUUAGAAUCGAGAUUGAAUUGAAAAAUUGCCUAACUAGAAAAAGAGUUAAUCUUCACUUGCGUACAACAGAGCUUCUUCUCAGAAUAUGGAAUUACUAAUAUAUAUACAUAGUUCUUUUUUUUUAAGAACAAGUUAAAUAUUCAUAGACUAACUUAUUACAAACAAGACAUAGCUAAGCAAUUUCCUCAACUCAAAUCUCGACAAAAAUAGGGAUUAAAUUAGGGGGUUUCAACAAUAAUGUGUUAAAGGUUAAUAUUAAGGGUAAUACAAGAAAUGGCUUAUUAGGCUCAAGGGGGUUUACUAGGGGUUAAUCGUGGAGGUAGGCUUUUCAUGGCAUGAGUGGGUUAAUCCUAAGUGCCUUAAUCAUUUUGAUAUAUCAAAUCAAACGGUGUGGUCUCGACAUGCAUAAUCAAACAAGUUCUAGAAUAACAGUUCAAUACUGACGCACUCAAAGCAAUAAUAAAAGUGAGCAUGAAUGGAUGAAUAGAUACUCAAAAGGCUCAAAAAUUUCACAAAAAUUAUGGCUUUUUGAUGUUUAGACUCGUGAAUUCCAAUUCAAAGUAAUACCUAGACUUGGGGAAACAGCCUAAGAUUUUGAAUUCUUAAAAAUCAACUCAUCAUGCUUGAUUCUCUAUUGUCUUAAAGUUUAAAUAAUCAAUGUAUAAAUCCCCUCAAGGUAUAUCAAUCAAAAUCAUAAAUUAAUAAAAAUUUAUCCUAAAUAUGAUAUGAGAGUUUCUUCAAGAGAACAAGAUGAUUAUUCAGGGAUUUUCUAAUAAUGAAAUAAAUACCCCACCAUAUUUAAGAUGUACAUUGCCCUCAAUGUACAAAGAUAGAUAUUAGAGUAUAAAAAUAAGAUAGGGAGAAGUGAAACUUCCUGUAUGAUGAAUUCCUCGAACUAGAGUUUUGGAGAGUGAUCGGUUUGAGGGUGGAGGAGGAAACUCCGGCGGUCGUAGAGGUUCAUUAGGCCAUAAGUCCUACGCCAAAAGAAUAUUAUAUCUAGUGGUAGCUAUGCUCGUGGUUGAGCAGGACAUGACAGUUGUAGAGAACCUUUUCCGGUGGAGUUUUAGUUCCUAUGUGAGGAUGAGCUUAAGAGCUCUAUAUAACUGUGAUAAAAUCAGGAACUUUUUUAGGGGAUAGUAGGAAGAAUAAGUACUCGAAAAAAAAUAACUGAAAUUUAUAAUAAAAUUUUAAAUCUGCUAAAAAUAAAAAAUAAAAAGUAGUUUGAAUAAAAAUUAAAAACAUAAAAUAAUAAAAUAAAUAUUUCUAAACAUUUUCAACAUUGGAUGGUUCGCAAUGAGAUGUGGACCCGCACAAGAUGACGCUCCCUUCCUCUUCUUCGAGGCUGGUACGGCGAAUUUCUUUCUUCUUGAAGAUGACAUUGAAGGCGCUAAGGGAGAGAGAUUGAGCUUUAAAAAUGAAAUUGUAGGCUGCGUAAGGGUGUGGCAAGGGGUACAAUCGUGUGGAAAAAAAUAGAGGGAAAAGAGAUGGAAAAGUGAGGAUUAAUGCAGGGGAAGUGGAUUUUAGGAUGGUUUGAGGGUAGGGGAAAUGAGAAUCUGGAGAAUGGUGGACGGAAUAGGGAUUAGGGAGUGGGGAAGGGGAGUUUUUAGCUAGGGUUUUGAAAGGAAGAAGCAAAAGAACAGUGAUUUGCUUAUAUAGAGGAGGUGCACACGGCCUAAAGCCAUGCCCGUGUUCUCUGAAAGUGAGCCUGUGUUUUUUAAAUUUUGCAAUUUAGGUCGUGCCCGACUACUAUCCCAUGCCCAUGUGUUUGGGGCGUGUGUGGUACACAGCCAUAUCGCACAGUCAUGCCUAGCUUUGUUCGCUUGUCCCACACCCGUGUGUUAGGGUACCACGCCCAUAUAUUGUUGUCCAUGGCUUAACGGCACACGCCGGUGUCGAAGAAACAGAAUCGAGCCUUACCCCUGGUACGCCCGUGUUUUUUCAUUCUCACGCUCGUGUUCACCUAUCAAGUUCGCCCAUGGCCAUGUCGCACGGCCGUGGGGAUUUAUCGCAUCCCGUGUUUAGGGAAAUCAUUUACCCUAUUUUUGCACGGCCGUAUUGUAUGGCCAUGUUUACCUCUGUAUUGGUCACACGGCCUUAAGCACGGCCGUGUUAUCGGCCGUGUGGAGCUGGGAACCUGUGCUUCAAAUACCCUGUUAGUGACCUAAAUGUUUAAAACUUGAAUUUAAAAUCAUUUAAAAUAAUUUAAAAUCGUUAGUACUUGGGUUGCCUCCCGAGAAGCGUUUAUUUACAGUCUAAGCUCGAGUUACCUCUCCGGUGAAUGGUCAGGGUGGUUCGAAGAGUUUAUACUCCUCAUUCCUGCUAUCAAUCUCAUCAAAAUAGGGUUUUAAUCGGGUGUUAUUUACCUUAAAAGUGCCGAACUUGGGGUGACUCACCUCCACCGUACCGAAUGGAAAAAUACUGAGUACCGUAAGAAAGAUUUUCUCAUUCGGUGUGGUAGUGACAAUAUGGAGAUCAGCGGCAUCUAGUAAGACUUGAUCGCCAACCUUAAGUUGAUUAAGAGAGACAUCAGGCUUGUUUUGGCGUAGUUUCGAUUUAUCAUGUGUUCUCGGUUUGUGUGCUCGCCAUUCGUCUAGCUCCUCUAUCCGUAGCCUUCGUUCUUCAUAAUUGUGUUCUCUAUCAUUUCUGGAACAUGGCUCGUGAACUUCUUUGAAGCUUAAUUUCUGCAAAGUCAUAUUGUCAGUUUUAGUAGAUUGGUUUGGACUUUUACCUUCAAUGUUCAAUGUGAUGCCAGAAUUACGAGCUUGAAGGGUGAUCGUUUCGUCUCCCACACGAAGUGUAAGCUCACCAAUUAAACAAGGAAUUGUAAAACUCCCUGGAUAUUUCAAUUUGUGGGGUAGCUUAUUCUGUAGAAUAACUGAGCAAACUGCGUUUAGCUCCACAUGCGAUGCUUCGUCCAACUUCCGCUUAUUUACUAAAAGCUCUUUUAAAAAUUUCAUUGCAUUUGGCAUCUGCGACAAAGCUUCAAUAAACGGUAAGUUAAUAUGUAUUUUUUUCAAAAGUUUGAGGAAUUUACCGAAUUGUUCGUCUGAGCGGUCUUUCCUUGUCGCGUUAGGGUAUGGGACACGAGGUUUAUAUUCAUCAUUCACCAUUUUGAUAUAACUUACCUCACUUUUACCUUUGCUCACCACAGUUGCUUGCAUCAAUUCUGGCUCAGGCGCAAUGAAUCCUUCCUUAUCUUGAGUACUAAUUGCGUUGAGGUGUUCCCUUGGGUUAGGUUCAGUAUUACUUGGUAAGCUACCUUGUGGUCAUUCGGAGAUUAAUUUGGAUAGCUGACCUAUCUGAGUUUCGAGUCCUUGGAUUGAUGCUUGUUGAUUUUUAAGUGCCGUUUCGGUAUUUUGGAAACAGGUUUCUGAUAUUGAUAUGAAUUUUGUGAGCAUCUCUUCAAGGUUCAGUUUCUUCUCUUGUUGAUAAGGUGGCUGCUGAAAACCUCGAGGACUUUGUGGCUUUUGAUUUCCUUGACCACCCUAGGAGAAAUUUGGGUGGUUCCUCCAACCUGCAUUAUCAGUAUUACUGUAUGUGUUAUUUUGAGAUCUAAAGUUAUUGUUACCCAUAUAGUUGACUUAUUCCUCUUCGGUUGUGGGAUUGAAAGAUUGAUAUUCUGUAUGCACACCUCCUCCACUUGAGUCACACCUUAUUACUGGAUGUAUCUACGUAGAACCAAGUAAACCAUCAAUCUUUUUAUUGAGAAGUUCUACUUAAUUUUACGGCAUAGUAACUGAGUUAGCGUUAUUAACGCUGGCUGUUUUUGUUGGCUUAGUUCUAAUGACUUGCUACUGAUAGUUAUUCAGUGACAUUUCUUCAAUGAAUUCAUAAGCCUCUUCAAGUCUUUUGUUAUUGAUGGUUCCGCCAGCAGCUGCAUCAACCAUUUACCGAGUCGAGGGAUUCAAACCAUUGUGAAAUGUUUGUACUUGCAGCGAAAGCGGUAACUGAUGGUGAGGGCACCUUCUCAGUAAGUCCUUGUAUCUCUCCCAUGCAUCGUAAAGUGUUUCUAAAUCCAUCUGCACAAAAGAAGAAAUAUCAUUAUGUAACUUAGCCAUUUUAGCCGGUGGAAAGUAUUUUAGUAAAAAAAUUUCGGUCAUUUGUUCCCAAGUAGUAAUUGACCCUUGUGGUAACGAGUUCAACCACUGUUUAGCUUUAUUCCUCAAUGAAAAAGGAAAUAACCGAAGACGAAUGGCAUUAUCAGAAACACCAUUGAUUUUGAAUGUAUCGCGAAAUUCCAGAAAAUUUGCUAAGUGAGCGUUGGGAUCUUUAUCCUGUAAACCAUCAAACUGAACAAACUGCUGUAUCAUCUGAAUAGUGUUAGGUUUUAAUUCAAAAGUAUUUGCAGCUACAGCAGGUCUAACUAUACUAGGUUCAGUUCCUGUUAAAGAAGGUUUAGCAUAAUCAUACAUAGUGCGUAGAGCAGGAUUUUGAUUAACCGCAAUUGCAGGAGGUAGCUGAUUGCCUUGGUUUUCAGUCAUCUCUUCGGUUGGGGGUUGAGUAUCUUCUUCUUGCUCAUUCUUCGUGUAUCGUAAGCUGCGCCUUAUCUCUCUUUGAUUUCUACGAACUGUACAAUCGAUUUCUUCGUCAAAAAGUAAUGGUCCCGACGGGUUUCUUCUAGUCAUAAACUAUAAAAACCUGCUAAGAGAAAGAAAAAGUAUAUUAAUAAAAUUAAAUUAAAUUGCAAGAAAAAUAAAUGGCUAAAGUAAUAAAAAUUUAGCGUUCCUAAUAUUUUAGUUCCCCGGCAACGGUGCCAAAAACUUGAUCACGUGAUUCGUAACAAGUAAUAAAUAUUUAAAAUGAAGAUCAAACCUAGACUAACUAAUAUCACGAUGUAAGCAAGUGUACCUAUCGAACAGUGGUAUAGUUUUUGCAAGACCAGAUUAUCGAACCCAAAGGAACUAAAAGUACUAGUAAUGACUGCCUUUUUAUUAUCUAGCCAAAGAAUAAUGGGGAUUUUUAAAUUGACUAAUUAUCUAAACUAAGAAUGCACAGAGACGAGAAUUGGGGAAUUGCUUUUGGGAAACUCAAUUGACUUGAGACAAUACCUAAGGAAAAAUUCACCUAGACUUUACUUGUUAUUCUGGCUCCGAACCGGACGAUUUAUUCAUUCAACUUGUUCUGUAGAGAUCCCUAAGUUAUGUUAUUAUCUCUAUUCAAGGCUAAUAACGUCUAAUCCCUAGAUUGAAUAACCGAGACUUUUCUCUAAUUAACACUCUAGGGUUGCAUUAACUCGAUCUAUGGAUCCCUGUAUUAGGUUUCACCCUAAUCUGGCAAAAUCUUGUCACCCUAUUUCUAGGCGCGCAAUUAACUCCGCUUAAUUAUGACAAAUGUACUCUUAGAUAGGGUCUAUUCCUCCUUUGAAUAAGAGCGUGUCUUGAAUCAGUAUCCUGGGAUAUCAAAACAAGAAUUAAGAACACAUAAUUAAGAACAAGUUAAAUAUUUAUCAUACGAUUCAGAAAAUAAUAACAAGAUUCAUCUUAGUUUUUAUUCCCCUUAGGUAUUUAGGGGUUUAGUUCAUAACUAAAUAAGAAAACAUCUCAAAAGAAUAAAGAAUACAAAACAUAAAGAAAACCCAAAACUCCUGAAGGGAAAUUGAGGAGAGAUCUUCAGUCUUGAUGAUGAAUCCGGCUUCUGAGAUGGAUCAAUCGGCUUCCUUGGGGUAAUUCCUUACCUUCUUAUCCGUCCUCUUUUUUCUCCUCCUCUAGGGUGUAUUUAUAGGCUUUGGAAUGCCUAAAAACGCUCAAAAUUGGCCUUUUUCAAAUUGAACUCAACUUGGGCUCGGCAGAGACACGCUCGUGACACACGCCCGUGUUCGAUUACUUCAGGUCGUGUUCAAGCCUGCCAAAUUGACAUGGCUAUAUGGUCUGCCUGUGUGAGGAGGUCCAGGCCGUGUUGAUUUCGUACUUUGGCCUAUUUUCUCCAUUUUUGGCCCACUUCUCGUUCAUUUUGCUCUCUUAUGCUCUCCUAAGUAUAAAACAUAAAAUUAGAGCAUUAGGAGCAUCGAAUUCACUAAUUCUAAUGAGAAAUCAUCCAUAAAAUGCAUUAAACAUGGGUUUAAAAUAUGUAUAAAUUACGGUUUAUCAGUGUUGCCCCUCUAAAAGUUCUGACAAAUGUUCGAUAGGUAAAAAGAGCAAAUGGUAACUUUUCAUGCCAAUCCUUGUAGGUCUCAGUCAUUUUACCAACAAUCUUCUUGAUAUUUUUAUUAGUUGCCUCAACUGCACCAUUCAUUUUUGGGCGUUAUGGAGACGAGUUGUGGUGCUUAAUUUUGAACUACCUGCAGACCUCCACUAUCACAGUGUUAUUCAAAUUGAAUGUGUUGUCAGAUAUGAUCCUUCUUCAAGAACUUGCUGACCGCCGACUUUGUGACAUUAGCGUAUGAAGCGGCUUCUACCCGCUUGGUGAAAUAAUCGAUGACUACAAAGAUGAGUAGAUGUCUAUUAGAAGCCUUAGGCGAAAUUGGCCCAAUGACGUCCAUGCCCCACAUUGAGAAAGGCUGUAACACCCCCUUUAACCCCAAAUCGUCACUGAAAUAGGGUUACGAGGCAUUACCAGACAUAUCAGACAACUUACAAAAAAAUUCACAAAUAAAUAAUAAUAUUCAUAGUAUAAUAUAACAGUUAAAUCCUAUUAAUAGAUGCUGGAAGCCAAAAUAUAAAUUAAAAGUGAAACUGAACUUGUUCAAAUUCUCCGAAAUUUUUUCGUAAUUUAAUUUAAUUUUUUUUUUAAAUUUCGACAGCAUUUCUGCUUAUUUUUACAUAAAACCCCCUGCAAACUUUAAACCCAAAACAAUCCAAUAUCAAUACUCCAACCAAUGAUUAAGUAUACUCAAUUACAUCCAACUUAUAUUAAAAUAAUAAUUCAAUACCUUAGUUUAAACAAUAUAACAUGUUAGCAUAUAUGUAUAAUUAAUAAUAUUUAUUUCAUUUCAAUUAUUUAUUACCAAAUCUACCAUUUCAUAACUUUAUAUCAUAUUCAUAAUCCAAAACAUUAUAAUCAUUUAUAUACAACCAAAAUCAUUUAACUUAAUGUAUAUAAAUAAUUUAUAUUUAACUACCUAGUACAUGCCACUUAACAAAAGGAAGAAAUACAUCACCAAAAUCUUCUUGUUGGAGUCGGGUUUGUUUUGGAUGCUAGAUCGGAUCCGAAACUCUAAUGACCUGUGCACGAAAACAACCGUACGCUGAGUAUUUCAUACUCGGUGGUAUUACUAUAAAUCAAGACUAUUUAACAUUAAUAAAUUACAAACAUCAACCAUAAAUUUUAUAAUCAUUUAAACUAAUUAUAUAUAUAAUUAUAUUACUUCAUAAAUCUUAAAUUCAUAUUUCAUUUUUCACAUACCAACUCAAUUCAUAAUUUAGUUCAUACAUUUUUUCUCAUACUUUUCAAUAGUGCCAAAACAAUUAAUCUCAUUUUCAAAAUUUCAUUUCAAUUAUUUACCCUAUUAACAAGGCUCGGACUUUGAUAAAUACGCGAAUUCCACCCAAACACACCAGAAUGUCCAAUCCAAACACACCCAGAAUAUUAUAAAUCCUCCAUAACACACCAGUAAGGCAUGAAAUGCCUCUUCGGAUAAACCGAAGUAUAUAAUAACAGAAACAUCUUCUCGGUCGAACUACAAAUCUCCUCAUCACAUCACAAAUCCAAUGGCAUGCCAUUUGUAUCAAAUCUAGUCUGACAAGUUAAUAGGGUAUUAUUUUACUUUUCCAAUUUCAUUUUCAUUUACACACAAAUUUUCAAUUCACAAUCAAUUCAAACAUCUAUUAUCUUAAUUUAUAUAUAAAUUAAUUUUCACAGAUACUCAUAUUUAAUUUCAAAUAUAUUACUUACCUUAACUUAAUUAUUCCAUAACUAUAAAUUCAGUAUACAUUUAGUAAAUAGUUUGAGUUAUAGUAAUACAAACCCACAAUACGAGUUUACUCCUCAACGAUCUUUUCUUUUCCUUUGGAUGCCGAUGCCUCGUUUUCCUUGUUAGCUACGGAAAAAAAAUAAUAACAUUUUACAUUAUUAAUUACAGUAUUAAUUUAAUAAUUAAUUGAAUUUUUAUUCAAUUUUUUCCUAAUUCCAAUUUAAUCCUAAUUAACUCUUUUAUUUGUUUAACUUAAUUUAUACUUCAUUUCUACUCAAUUUCCUUCCAUGUUCACCCUAACAAUCUAAUGUUCAUUAUAAAACCCUAAUUUAAAAUUUCUUUCAAUUUAAUUUCCUAAAACACAAAACUUAUAGAUUCUUUUACAAUUUAAUCCCUUUUUCAAUUUCUAACUUAAAAUUCAUUCAAUUAAAUCCCUAAUUCUUCUUUUUCUUCAACAUGAACUUUAUUUAAAAGCUCAUAAACUUUCAAACUAUCAAAUUAAUUUCAUCAAAACCUUAUUUUAAGACUUCUAAAACAUCAAAUUUAAGAGAAAAGGACUAAAUUUAGCUUACCAAAUAACCUUGAAGCUUUAAAAUCCAAAUUUUCCCUUUUUCUUUUCUUUCCCUUUUCUUCCCUUGUUUUUCGAAUGCUCUCUGUUACUUAUUUUGUUUGUUAGCUUGUUUCUUUUUCCUUUACUUUUGUUUUGUUCUAUUUACUUUUAUUUAUUUUAUUUAUUUUAUAAUAAUAUAAUAACUUAAUAAAUAUCUAUUUAUUAAUCAAUAUAUUUAUUACAAGUGUAAUAUUCUUAUAUUUACACAUGUACUAUAUCAUCAUCAUACAUUUGUCAUAUUUUAAUUUAUUUAUCAUAUAAAAAUCUUAUAAUAUAAUUAUUUAAUAAAUAUCUAUUUACUUAAUAAUAAUUAAUAAAUAUCUAUUUACUUAAAUAGUAAGUAAUUUAAAUUCAUGAAUUAGAAGUGUAAGUGUAUGCUUAUUAUUGUUACAUUUGUAUUUUUUUUAUCAUCAUCCACUUGUCAAAAUCAUACUUUAUUAUCAUAUAAAAAUCUAAUUAUUUUAAAUUGAUUUAAUAAAAUUUAUAACUAAAUUAAAUAUUUAUAUAAUCAUUGUUUUUAAAAAAAAUCUUAGAUUUUUACUCCCUUUUGCCGCCUCAUCUUCCCAAAUAGGCUUAGUUGUCUAUUUGGUCCUUAUUAUUUCCUAUUAAUUUACAAUUAGACUUUUACUCCUUAUUCAAUUUAGUCCUUUUUACUAACUACUCUAAAUUAAGCUAAAUUAACUUAAUUUAAACAUAAUUAAACAUAUCGCUAAACCCAUAAAUAUUUUUAGUAAUUAUUUUCGAACUCGAUUUACUAAGACGGAGGCCCGUUAAUAUACUUUUCCGAUGCUCGUAAAUUUUGGGUCAUUACAAAAGCCAUAGAGAAGUCAUAACAUGAAGAGGUGAAGGAGGCACAUAGAUCUUGUCUCCAUAAAUUUGGCACUUAUGGCAUUUCUUGGCGUAACUGAUGUAAUUUCCCUCCAUCGUGGACCUGUAAUACCCGAAUCUCAUGAUUUGCCUGGCCAUUGUGAACCCAUUGGCAUGCAUCCCACAGACACUCUCAUGGACUUCUUCUAGGAUUUUUUUAGCUUCAACAGUGUCAACACAUCUUAGCAACACCUAACCUUUUGUCCUUUUAUACAGGAUCUUUCUGUCUAAGACAUACUCGCUAGCCAGCCUCCUCAACGUUCUCUUAUCAUUUUCAGUUGCCUGAUCAGGAUAUUCAUGGUUCUUCACGUAUCGUAGAAUAUCAUGAUACCAAGGAUAAUCAUCUCUCUCUUCUUCUUCGUCGAUAUUGCAGCAAUUAGCUGGAGCCUCACAAAUACUCAUCUAGAUCGACUUCAUAUCCUCCUAUUUAUUUACUCUGAUCAAUAAAGCUAACGUAGCCAAAGCAUCAGCCAUCUAGAUUUCUUCUCGCGGGAGUUAAUAGAAAGUGAUAUCAUCAAACACCUUAAUUAAAUCCAGAAUUAGCUCUCAAUAGUUGAUCAACUUUGGGUCUCUUAUUUCCCAUUCACCUUUGAGCUGAUAGAUCACCAAUGUAGAAUCCCCAUACACCUCUAACACCUUGAUUUUAUAUUCGAUGGCUGCACGGAUUCCCAUGAUACAUGUUUCGUACUCUGUCAUAUUAUUUGUGCAAUCAAAAUCCAAUUUGCAAGUGAAUAGAUAAUGAUCUCCAUUUGGGGAUAUCAAAAUCGCCCCAAUCUCAUUACCAACGGCGUUUGAUGCUCUGUCAAAAUUCAGUUUCCAAGGAUGAUCUUCUGGAGUGUCCUCUUCGGUAAUUGACACAUACAUUAGAUCUUCAUUAGGGAAAUCAAAGUUUAAAGGCUCGUAAUCUUCUAAAACUCUACUGGCUAGAAAAUCUACUAUUGCACUCCCCUUCACAGCCUUCAGGUUCACAUAGACAAUGUCGAAUUCGGAAAGAAAAAUUUGUCAUUCGGAAAGAAAAGUCUCUGUAAUCUACGCACAUCCGCACUUUUCAUCUUUCUUAGGAACGGGAACAAUGUUAGCUACCCAUUCUGAGUAAUUCACCACUUGCAAGAAUUCAGCAUCAAAUUGCUUCUUGACUUCUUUCAUUAUCUUUACUGUGAUAUCGGGCCUCGUUCUUCGGAGCUUCUAUUGAACUGGCUUGUACUCUUCUUUUAUGGGGACGCGAUGCACCGCAAUAUCAGCGCUUAACUCAGGCAUAUCUUGAUACGACCAUACGAAGAUAUCUUUGAACUCCUGUAGUAAUUCAAUGAGGUCCCGUCUUGUUCCCUCAGUUGUGCAAGUUCUAAUGUUCACCUCUUUCCCUUCUUCCAAGGUCACAUUCUCGAUUGUCUCUUUAUGGGGUAGGAUCUGUUUCUCUUCCUGCUCUACCAUCCUUAACAAAUCUGGAGGUAAGUUAUGGUCUUCAUUAUCUUCAAAAUCCUGAGAUCCCUCCAGACCUAUUGAUAUCUGAAGACCUAUUGUAGGUACGGAAGGAUAUCCAAAAAAUAAAAGAAUCUAAGAAUAGCUUUAUUUGUAUAGCAUGACUAUAAAUGAAAUGCAAGAAAAGAAUAUUUGCACAAGAUGAAAGAAUAUUUACUUAGAAUAGGAUAUAGAAGUGUAUUUAUAUUGAAAUAAAGAUGUUUUAAACAUGAGCCUAUUUUACAAAAGAUUCUUAUUAUUUCUAGGCUUUAAAACAACAAGUGUGUUUUGAAUAUUACUCUGUACUAGCUCUAAAAACUACAAGAAUUCCUUUCACAGUCCAAUAGUUCAGAACACUUCCAGGCUCAUAAGGGCGAAUGCUUGCUAAGUCUCUUUCCAUCACUUUCUCUUCAGAUAUGACGUUAAUGUUCAGACCUCCCAUCAAAUCUUCGGUCGUUCCUUCUCUUGUCAUCUUCAGUUCAGGAUAGAUAAUUCCUUCCAACAUAAAUGUAUUGGAUAUAUGGAGAGAAUUCAUUAAUUCUCACUUGACCUCUGCCCCACUCAAACGUGCUCUUCAUCUAUCUUGCCUCCUUUUCAUCUCCUUUCUCUUUUGCUUUGCAUCUGGCCUAUACCCUAAGCCAAAACGAUCCUGUUUAUCAGCCAAAAGUGGUACCUCAACUCGUCCAUAAAGAUACUUUCCAAGUCCUCUUCUAGGCAAUGCCCCAUUCUCCACAGUUAAUUGCAAGCUAAUCCUCGUAGCCUCAGAUAUUUUUGGCAUUAGGACCAUGCCCCCUUCAAUGAUGAAAGUUGCAUUUAUGAACUCUAGUGACCGAAAGGAACACUCUAUUGCCUCAGUAUCAUUUUCUAUAUAUAAGUAUCAAUGGUGACGGAUGCAAUAAUGUCCUCCUCUACGUUUAUUAUUAUCAGCCGACCCUUUGUCACCAACUUUAGCUUUUGGUGCAAUGAUAACGGUACUGCCCCUGCCGAGUAAAUACAUGGCCUCCCUAAUAGGCAAUUAUAAGAAGGCUUGAUAUUUAUGACUAGGAAAUCUACCUCGUAUGUGUUCGAUCCAAUCAGAAGAGGCACUGCAAUCCUUCCCAUUACCUUCUUUCUAGUGCCAUCAAAUGCUUUCACUAUGUUUUAGCAUGACUUCAUAUGAGAACUGUCUAUUGGUAACCUAUUCAAUGUGGAUAGGGUAAGACAUUCAAUGCUGAUCCAUUAUAAAUUAGUACCCCUGGUAAUAUAUACCCAUUGCAGCGAGUGUUGAUGUGCAGAGCCAUGGUGGAUCCCAUGCCCCUUGGCGGUAUCUCAUCUUCACUGAAAGAGAUGAAAUUAUCGGUGCUUAUGUUGUCGAUAAGACGGACUAGCUUGUUUACCGAAAUGUCAUCAACGACAUAAGUUUCGUUCAACACCCUCACCAAUGCAUUACGGUGUACCUCAGAGUUUAGGAGGAGAGCUAGCACCGAUAUGCACGUGGUUAUUUGUGUAAUUGUUCCACUACGUUAUACUCGCUGUGCUUUAGGAACUUCAAGAAUUCCUUAGCUUCUUUCUCCAUUAUAGGCUCAUUAACCAGUGGUCCUGACCUUUCUUUCCCCUAUUCAAUCAUCAAGGACUUCUCUUUUUCAAGCUCGGCUUUUGUAUUCGGCGUGUUGACCGGACUCCCCUCUCUUGAUGAUGUCACAUUACAGUUAUAAUUCUAAUGCACCAUUUUGCUAUCCUUAUAAGGAAAAGCCGCGGGUUUCUGAAUUACAACUCUUGGUGUGAUUUUUGUUUCAGUUUCAUUAAUUAUUGGUCGUGAAAUAAUCACCACUGGGUGAUUGACCUCAGAGACCUUCUCCAUCGACCCCUCCUCCGAAGCGCAUACUUCUUCCUUCUCAGUAAAUUCAAAGAACUCCAGCUCUUUGUUGUCUAUUAAACCCUGUACUAGGGCUCUAAAUUUGUAUGUUUCAAUCCCAUAGUCUUUAUUAUUGUGAAACUCACAGUUGUUCCUCGCCUCUCGGGAUUUGCUCUUUAAGUCUUGCGUGAUUAACCCUCUUUCCACCAUCUUCUUCCAAACCUCCAUCAACGGGGUUUUCGCUUCUGUAACAUUCAACCUAACUUUCCUUCCUAUAUUCUCGACUAUCAUAUUGACCCCAUUAUCAGUAUGAUUGGGUAACGGAUUUCCUACACUAGUUGCAUCAUUAAAUUUUACAAUACCUAUUUUGAUGAGCCUUUCGACUACCCUUGUGAAAGAGGUGCAGUUCUCUAUCAAGUGUCCCGUGAUUCCCACAUAAUAUUCAUAUUGGUCACUUGCAUCAUACCACUUGAGGUAUGGGGGCUGCAACAGUUUUAAGUAGAAUGAGGAUACAACGUGUGCAUCGAAUAAACUUUUGUACAGCUCCCGAUACGUUAUUGGAAUGGGAGUAAACUGGGGCUUCUCCGUGUUCUACUUUGUAUUGGACUCUUGCCUUGACCAAGCUUGCUAGCCCGUGGCUAUCGCUUUCGGCUGGUUUACCGUAAUUGGUUUCGCAUAACCCAUGCUCACAUUGUUGAUUUCAUUUUCUCUCUUCUUCGAGGCCGACCUUCUGGUGCUUUCCCUAGCCUCUAUUUUCCUGCACCUUAUCGCAUUCUCUAUCAUUUCACCAAACAUCUCUAUGUCUGUGAAACUCUUAGUUGCACUUCCCAGCAUGUGAUUAAUAAAAUAUGCCUUCAAGGUAUUAAUGAAAAAUAUGGUUGUUUCUUUUUCCAACAGUGGCAGUUGGACUUGUGUAGUGACUUCCCUUUAUAUCUGAGCGUAUUACUUGAAACUUUUAUUCGACUUUUAUCAGGUGCUAUAUCCGUCACAUGGCCAUAUUACUUCAUGAAGGCCUGUGCUAAGUCUUUCCAUUAUUUAACUUGGGUACGAUUCAACUGAUUGUACCAAUUGGCCGCAACCCCAGACAAACUGUCUUGGAAACAGUGGAUCAAUAACUGAUCAUUAUUGACAUGACCAGUCAUCCUCCGACAAAACAUCGUGAUGUGAGCCUCAAGGCAGCUGGUUCCAUUGUAUUUUUCAAACUCUGGCAUUUUAAACUUUGGAGGGAGUACCAAAUCUGGGACUAGGCUUAACUCCUUUGCAUCCAUCCCGCAAUGAUAAUUAGUGCUUUCUAACGCCUUGAAUUUCUCCACUAACCAUUUGUAUCGGUCUUCCAGUUGCUUUGGGAAUUUUGCUCCUACCUUUUCUGCUUCCGCUAUAUUAUCGAGGUCAGGGACUGCAGGAUUUGGCCGACUAUCUUCGAGGUUAGAACAUGAGCCCAUUGGGAAAUUUAUCGGUGCUGAAGUACCAGUCUGAUAUUGGGGUUUGAUAUUGAUAGACACCUAUUCUGGUGGUACUGGGGUAUUUAUUGGGGUGAAACCUGGAUAGUAAACAAGGAUCUCACUAUCGUCCUCAGUAUUGAUAAUGAGACUCUUCCCUUUUUCUGGCCUUUCAGCCAGUAGCUGAGACAAUUGGUUUCUCAUAUUCUUUUAAGAUUCCAGCAUAUGAUCCUUCAUAUCCUGUUGAAUCUUGGCCAACUGUUUUUGUAUCUGUAAUUGUAAUUGAUCCUGCAUCUCUUUCUGCAUUUGCUCAAAUUUUUCCAACCUUUGAUCUAUAGCUUUGGUUUUUUUCCGUGUGUAGUAUUGAUGUUCUAGGAUAACUAUAAUGCGAUUUCGAAUUAAUUAGGAUUCUUUUGUGAAAUUUAAUAUAUAUGAUACGAUGAAAUGCAAAUGCAUGAGAUGAAUGCAAAACUAAAAAGACGUCGAUUCUGAUUCAAUUCCAUUUAAAAAACUUUAUUAGAAAGCAAAAUCAUUUACAUAAAAUAGAUCAUAUAUACAAGUUUGCCCUAAUGCCCAAAGUUUUAACUUUCUUAAGAAGGCAAGCCAGCUCACGACCCAAGUCUGACUCUGACUCAUAAUUCACACUUAGCACAUCAGCUUGAACCGCUAAGGUCUGUAAAUGAUCGGCCACUUCUCGAACUUAGCCACGACUUUACCCAUGAUAUGAUCUCUAUCCCUGACCUGGUCCUGCGAUCGACGGAGUUGUUCCUUCCACUGCUCAUUAUUCGACUCAAGGAAUUUGAUUCAAAGUUCACAGUUUUGUAAUGCAAACUCGAGUACUUCUACCUUCCCUUUCAAAUCCUUGAUCCUGUUCAGGUUGGCUCUUAAUUCAAUGUCGGAGUUACAACCACGGUACCGAUGCAGUGCCUUCUCUAGCUCCGCUACCCGAGUUACUAACAUCUUCUUCUUAUCUUGGCCCUCAAACAAGCUCUUCUUUAAGGCUUUUUCACGUGCUCGAGCAUCAUGAAACCUCUUCUCCCACUGAUCAGCUCUAGCUUUUUCUUCUUGAACUUCUUGUCUCCACUCCUCUGACAUCUUUCCCAAUCCAGUAGUUCUCAUCAACAUACGCAGAUUUUUGUAAUCGGUCUUCAAACUGUCCAAGUCUUCUUCAACCUUUCUUUUCCCUUUUUCAACUUCUUAGCCUCAACUUUAUGAACGUCGACAGCCAACCUCAAAUGCAUCUUUUUCUCCUCCAAUUAUUCUAUCUUUUUCCCUAACUCCAAAUUUCUCUUUUCGAACUCUUGUUUUACGAUUUCUAGCUCAGAGGGAUUACUUGCAAGUAUUUUUCCAUUGAUUGAAUGACCUCUAAAUUCAGCCCAGGGACAUUAUCGUUGAUCCUUUUACUCUACCACCCCUUGUAUUUAGAAGUCGUCAUUGAUCCUACAGCCAAUAUCUUCAUCCGGCGUAUCUGUUUCUAAGCAUUAGAAAUCUCUCGAACCUUCUUCUUAUAAUUGUUCUCCAUAUACGAGAACUGCAUUGACCUAUAUUGUCUUAAAACGAGCAAAGAGGCAUAUCCAAUAGCUCUCCAAAUUUCAGGCAGAGGUACCCAAUCAAAACUCCCACACCGAUAGAGGAUCUCAUCAGGAACCAACCAAGGAGCUCUCCACUCAACGUCUUCUUCUUGAAGGUUUUAGAGGAGCGCGAUCCAAUUUUCUUCUAAUAUGUCAUCUCUCCUGGACGUGGCAGUUAUCUCCUUUAACGGGGAGUAACUCUCGGAGAAAAUCUGAUAAGAAACCUUAUCCACCUUUCAAAAAUGGCUGUGAAACCAAGCUAGCAAUAACUGUAUGCACCCUAUAAAUCUACCUUCAUCUGCCCCCUGACAUGCACUUAAGGAUCUGAAUGUCUCGGUUAGAAUUGCCGGCACCAGUGUGACCGGUUUGUUAAGUCGUUCAAAUAAGUCGACAACUGCUUCAUCUAUAUGCCUUAAAGCUUUUGUGAAAAUUACCAAACCAUAUAUGCUCAAGUCAAAGACGUCAACUUUCCUCUUUAUAUCUGGAUGUGCUACCAUCAGGUCCCUCAAACUCACCCAAGGAAUGUACUUACCAUCACCCUUUUGCUAAAUUCGGGCUGUAACCCAUUGUUCACUCAUCCCGGUGAUACUCAUUAAUUUCUUUACAAAAGCCGGGGCAUUAGCAGCCUUAGAAUAAGUUUUGUCGACUUGAACCUUUGGACAACGAAACAAAGCUGUAUACUCCUCCACAAUAGGCACCAAGUCCACCCUCCCGAAGAUGAAACAACUAUAUACCGGGUUCUAAAACUGAGUCAUAGCCCGAAACAAGUACUUGUCCACCUUGAUAUCGAGCAGGUAAGGUGAGUCGCCAUAACUUUGAUAGAACAGCUGCUUAGUGUCAUCAUCCCAACGAGCCCAUAUAUCCCUCAAUUCCUGGAACUCGUUUUGGGUCACAUUGAUGCAAGUGAAAUCUAACAACUCCGAUGUAUACCCUUUAGCUAGGCUAUCUUCUUUCUCAAGUUGCAUCUUCUCUGACCACAUAUGGACAGUCGCAUUAUCUUCUACUUUAUCAAGGAAUUCACUCUCCAUGACAAGCUUUCUAAAUUUGUAACCGAAUAGGAAUCGACACCUCUUUAAUAUGAAAUGACAUGCAAACAUAACCACAACAAAACAUAACAAGUUAGUAUCGCAAAAUAAAAAUCAAAGCAAAAUAGAAAAUAAUCAAACACCUAUUUGGGUAAUCACUAGGGUUCAACAUACCUCUAUCUAGGGCGAGCUCUUAGAGUUCAUUAUAUGUGGCUCAGUUCUAAGGAAAAGGGUACCUGAACCAGCAGAUUCCUCAAUCCUCACUCAUUAUAGGCUUAUAUGGAUCGAGUUCAGUUCAGGGGAAUUGUAAUACCCCAUACCCGUGCCUGAGACCGGGAUAGGAUACAAGGCAUUACCGAAAUUUUCAGAAUAAUUUCAAUUAAUUUAUAUUAUUUAGUAUUCAUUUUCAUGUUUCAUGUAACAUCCUUUUCAUAUAUUCAAUUCAAAAUAUCAUAUAAAAUACGAUACAAUACUUAAAUUUUCAUAUUUACAUUCUCAUUCAGGGUAUCAUAACCUACCUGACUAAAUUGCAGAAAUACCAAGAUUUAGGGGCAUAUUGGUAAUUUACCAUUUUCCCAAAUUUCACCCAAUCUUAAAUUGAUAAUUCCAUUCAAUUUAUUAAUUUAGAUAAUAAAACAAUUUAUUCCGUUCAAUUUAGUCAUUUUUGACAUUUUACAAAAUUGCCCCCUAAAGUUUUACUUUUAUUCAAUUUAGUCCAUGAGCUUAAAACAUGCAAAUUAGCCAUGCUAACUGAAUAUUCAUAUAUAUUUUUCCUCCUCCUCCUCUCCAUUCCACAUCCUUAAUGUAUAUAACAUUCUUGUAAGUACGAUUUCACAAUUUACUUAUUAAUGCUCACAUCAAUCUGUUCACACGAGUCAUAGUCACUCAAUUAUUUAUAAUUCGAGCUAAAGAGCUCAAAAUUAAGAUCUGUAAAUUUUUCCUAAAACUAGACUCACAUAUCAUUCCACCAUAAAAUUUUAAGAAUUUUUGGUUUAGCCAAUUAGUAUAGUUUAUUCAUUUAAGUUUCCCCUGUUUCACUAUCCAACAGUUCUGACCUCUCUUCACUAAAAAUUAAUUAUAUCACAGUACAAAACUCGGAUAAUGUUCCCAUUGAUUUAUAUUGAAAAUAGACUCAUUAAGAAUUCUAAUCAUAUAAAUUUGAGACUCUAAUUAAUUGUCUCCAAUUUUUGGUGAUUUUCCAAAGUCAAAACAGGGGAACCCGAAUUCAUUCUAACAUUAUCUCACAAAAUUCAUUAUAUCUUAUAAUUUACAAAUCCAUUGCUUACACAGUUUUUUCUAUGAAAAACUAGACUCAAUAAGCUUUAAUUUCAUAUUUUAUUCAUCUUCUAAUUCGAUUUCUACAAUUUAUGGUGAUUUUUAAAAGUUAGUCUACUUCUGCUGUCCAAUAUUGUUUUAGUUCAAGAUGUUUAUUACCAUUUUUCCUCUAAAUUUCAAAGGUCAUACAAUUCAGUCCUUGCUCAAUUAGCCCAUCUAUUAAGCUAAUUUUUCUCAAUUAACAUUUUAUUCCAUCAUUCUAAACUAUUACACAAUCUUUGAAAAUCAUAAUUUUAACACUAAACCUUAAUUCACAACUUUUUCACAAUUAGGUCCUAAAAUCAAUAUCUAUUGAAAUUACUUGAUAAAAUCAUCAAACAACAAAAUCAAAGCUUCAAAUUCAUUUUAUUUCAUCAUAAACAGCUAACACUUAUCAAUGAUAGCUUUUAAUUUUGUUCAUAAAAUCAAAAACUAAUGAAUUAAACACUUGGACCUAAUUUAAAAGUCACAAAAACAUAAAAAUCUCAAAGAAAAAGGUAAGAAUUGAACUCACAUAUGUCAAAGUAUGAAAAACCAGCAGCUUUCAGACCUCCCAUGGCGUUUUUGCUGAAGAAAAAUGAUGAUAUCUCUAGAUUUUUCAAAUUUGUCUUGUUUUAUAUGUUUAAUUUGCAAAAUUUCCCAUUUUGCCCUUGUUUCUCCUUGUCUUUUUUGCUGAUUUUCUUGACCAACCGUCCAGCCCAUACAAUUUGGUCCAAUUGCCUUUUAAAUCCCUCCUUUUUAAUCACUUAAACUAUUUAAUCACAAUUUAAUAAAUUUCACACUAUUUUCAAUUUAGUCCUUUUUAAUUAAUUGACUAACCAAACGUUAAAAUUUUCUAACGAAACUUUAAUACUAACUUAAUAACCCUCCAUAAAUAUUUAUAAAAAUAUUUAUGACUCGGUUUAUAAAUUCGAGGUCUCGAUACCUCGUUUUCAACCAAAUUUACCUGAUUAAUUCUUUUAAAAUCGCAAAAUUCACUAAUUAAAAAUAAUUCUUUUAAGUUCGCGCUUGGCCUAUAAUUAUUAUUUUUUAAAAUUUCUAAACUUACUCGUCGGAUUUAGUGAUCUCGAAUCACUGUUUCCGACACCACUGAAAAAUUUGGCUGUUACAGGAAUACAUUUCCCUAUGGCUAUGUAGAGGUGAAAACCUCACGAAGACAUAGGUACGGAUGUAUCCCGGAAGCAGUCCACUAGCCCAUGUGGAGGUGAAAACCUCACGAAGGCAUAGUUUCUCACUCCCACUUAAAAAGUGUGACUACAACGGUUGUAAUGCAAUGCGAGGGGACAUAAAAACUCCAACAUAAAAACAUGAAUAAGAUGAUGAAAACCAUAACACCAAUUAAAAGGAUCGUAUGUUAAAAACCAAAUUUUUAAUUUUCGACAAAAGGACAGAAAAUAAUCAAUUUUACGGCUUGACUCUCUUAUUGGUCCCCAGUAGAGUCGUCAAACUGUCGAAACCAUUUUAUUUUGAAAAACGGGGAUCGACUUUAAAAAACGAAUUAUGGAGUCGCCACCAAUCUUUUUUGGUUUAGGUGUGAUCGGAUCACCUAAUAAAUUAUUUUAUUAAAGAAUGGAUUUUGGCCUACGAAAAAUCAAGAAACAGGUUCAGGAGUCGGUUAAGUACAAGGAAGGAUUAGCACCCUCGUAACGCCCAAAAUUAGUACCUAAUUGAUUAAUUUAUGUCCUAAUGUUGAAAAUCUGAAAAAACAUUUAAAAUACGAUCCCUUUAAAAAAUGUGUGAACAACUCGAGUUGGAUUUUAAGAUUCACUCAUUCCAAAUGAAUAAAAUACCACAUCUAGCACGUUAGGACACGAUAUUUUAAGCUUCCAAAAACUGAGAUCACCUCAUGAUUUCCAAAACACGCAACGAAAUCUUAAAAGGGUAUUCCGUCAUUUGGCCAAACGAAAAAUCGAAACCCAGCACGCUAGGGCACGAUUUCUCGAAUUUUCAAAUACGAAACAUUUCCUUGUUUUGAAAAGUUUCCAAUUAAGCAAUUAUGAAACCGGCUCAAAAUAUAUUCAUUUGGUUUAUCUUAGGGUAAAAACAAUUGAUGUUGGGUGAAGAGUUGGAAUUUAAAAUCAUGAUGCAAUAAUGAACAUGCAAGCUUAUUAUUGAACAUGAAAUGAAAAUAUGUGGCAAUAAUAUUACAUUAUACGAACACUAAUAUUAACAUUUGAAAGCUAAUGAUUUAAAAGCAAAUUUAAAGAAUUACUAACAUGAGUAACAUGUAGCAAGUUUAAAAAAACAAGUAAACAAAUGAGUGAUAUAAAGAAAACGUACUUUUAGAAACAUCAAUAUGCAAACAAUCAAUUAUAUGCAUAAACCUUGAAAUAAGUAACUUACAUGAAAGUUUGAAAUACCAAGAAAAUAAAAUAAGAAUAUAUAUAUAUGAAAUAAUAAUGUAUGAAUGAAAUUUCAAAAUAAAUAAUGUAUAUGAAAAAAGGUAAGUGGCGUAUAAAACAAUAUAUGUCAAUCCAAAUAGGUAAUAUACAUGAAAUGAGAAGACUUAAUAUGAAUAAUACAUAUGUACAAAUAUUAAUAACACAUAAAAGUAUUUGAAGUAAACAAAUGGAUGUAUAUAUAUAUAUCAAUGUACGAAAGUAAAUAUCAUACAAAUCACUAAAGUAUAAAAUUAUAUAAAAGAAUUUUAAAACCAAUAAGUCAUACAAUAAAUCAAUGUAAAAAUAUGCAAAAAAAAAAAAGGAAAUAAAAGCCUUAAUAAUAUGUAAUUUAUUAAAACUGUAUAUAGUAAAAUAGUAUAUGGGAAAAGAAUCAAUAAUAAAAAAGAAAAUUUAAAAUAUGAAUUACAAACUUAAUUUCAAAAAAGUUAAAAUCAGAAAGACAAUUUGUAAAUGAUAAAGUACCGUAGGAUCAAAAUGCGAGGAGUAUAAACUAACGGGGACUAAAAAACAAAUAAACCAAACGUCCAAAAUGAAACACUUAAGCGCGGACUGAUUUGUAAUGGCGCACAAAUUCCAGGGACAAUUUAAAAGAAUUUAAAAAACUUAAACAUGACUCAAUUGAACGCUAGUGCGAAGGCGGGGGACUAAUGCGCAAAUCCCCCAAUCAGAAUCAAAAUGCGUGGACCCUCCCUGCAGGUCAGGUCAAUGCGCGGGUCUGCCCCCCCCAUACGGCGCCGUUUCACUUUGAUUGCUUAAAUCAGUUUAUUUCAAAAACAAUUUUGAUUGAAGGUUUAAAAAAAGAAAGAAAAAAAAGGUUGUUUCAUUCUCUGCUAGGGUUUCAUUCGCAAGCCCUAAUGGCCGCCGCAGUACCAAGGCCACUUUCGGUGGCCAGUGAUGCCGAGAAAUAGGUCUUUCGACCCCAAUCCAAGACCGUUUUCUGGUAAGCUCUCCUCCUUUUCUUCUUAUAUUUCGUAUUUGUGUCGAAUGAAAAAAGAGAAACAAAAUAAAAUUGCAACAAAUAAUCACCUUUGAAGUAUUCUUUUGAUUGCUCUUUAUUUUUUGUGUAUUUUGUAUUCGAAAAUCCGUUCCAAAACAAAUGAAAAUUCGAAGCUUUUAUAGCCCGAAAGUACAACAGUUAUUUUCUAUUCUCUUGCUCACGUCGUAGGUCAUGAAAACGUGGAGGAGGAACAAGCGUGGGGCGUGCUACACGCGAACUAGGGGUCGCGCUUGGUGUGCCGACUUGCGUGGUGGUGGGCCGCCGAACGUGGGGCUGUGGCGUAAGGGGUAGCCUAGGGUUUCCUAGGUUAGCUUGAUUGUUUAGGUUUUCGGCCAAGGGUAUUGGGUUUGUUCAAUGUAAUUGGGUUUGGUUAGUUUGGGUUUGUACUUGGGUCUAUUUUUUGGGUUAGUUUCAUCUUUUUUUGGGGUUUGUUAUUUUUAGUGAUUUGGGCCGUUUCAUGUAAUUGGAUAUUUGGGCCGAGCAAAAAUUGGUUUUUACAUAUACUAAUAUUAUUUUCAUUAUUAUUUUUCUUAUAUAUGUUUUUUUACUCUUAUUAUUAACAUUUUAUUUAUUUAUUUAUUUACAUUUUUUAUUAUUAUCUAAUUUAACUUUUUAUAUAACGCUCAUUUCAAAUUUUUAUACAUUAUUUACUUUAAUAUUUUCAUAAAUUAUGUAUUUUUAACUUUUUUUACACAUUAUAUAUUUUGAAUUGUUUAUAUAUUAUUUUUAAAGAGUUUUAUAUAUUAUUUUAUCUUGAAUGGAUACUAAUCUUUUUUUAAAUUAUUUUAUAUACUUUAGAUCGCUUUUAUAACAUCC